UACUAUCAGUCCUAUCAAAUACUAAGUAAUAUAAGGUAAGGCAGUUUGUAUAUUGCUACAGCCAAAGAGUAGACAGACAGGUUAGGUCUAUAGACCAGCCAGAGAGUAGACACAGGUUAGGUCUAUAGACCGGCCAGACAGUAGACAGACAGGUUAGGUCUAUAGACCGGCCAGAGAGUAGACAGACAGGUUAGGUCUAUAGACCGGCCAGACAGUAGACAGACAGGUUAGGUCAAUAGACCAGCCAGACAGUAGACAGACAGGUUAGGUCAAUAGACCAGCCAGACAGUAGACAGACAGGUUAGGUCUAUAGACCAGCCAGAGAGUAGACAGACAGGUUCGGGCUCUGAUCAGCCACCACCAGGCUGGGCUCCCCUCUCAGCAGAGUGGGACACACCCAGUUCACCUUGUCCCCAUGGCUGAAGCUGAG